GGGUCCAUCGGAUAAUGAUAGUCUACUCGGCUCCAGCCCGGGCGGCGGGGGUUUGAUUCCUCCUGGGCCCA
rnacentral:tRNA from 1 species